rnacentral:rRNA from 1 species
CCUACGGGAGGCAGCAGUGAGGAAUAUUGGUCAAUGGGCGCGAGCCUGAACCAGCAAAGUAGCGUGAAGGAUGACUGCCCUACGGGUUGUAAACUUCUUUUAUAAAGGAAUAAAGUGAGGCACGUGUGUCUUUUUGUAUGUACCUUAUGAAUAAGGAUCGGCUAACUCCGUGCCAGCAGCCGCGGUAAUACGCAGGAUCCGAGCGUUAUCCGGAUUUAUUGGGUUUAAAGGGAGCGUAGAUGGGUUGUUAAGUCAGUUGUGAAAGUUUGCGGCUCAACCGUAAAAUUGCAAUUGAUACUGGCAUUCUUGAGUACAGUUGAGGUAGGCGGAAUUCGUGGUGUAGCGGUGAAAUGCGUAGAUAUCACGAAGAACUCCGAUGGCGAAGGCAGCUUACUAAACUGCCACUGACAUUGAUGCGCGAAAGUGUGGGUAUCAAACAGGAUUAGAUACCCGUGUAGUC